rnacentral:rRNA from 1 species
UACGUAGGGUGCAAGCGUUGUCCGGAAUUAUUGGGCGUAAAGAGCUCGUAGGCGGUCUGUCGCGUCGGCUGUGAAAAACUCGGGGGCUCAACCCCCGAGCCUGCAGUCGAUACGGGCAGACUAGAGUGCGGUAGGGGAGACUGGAAUUCCUGGUGUAGCGGUGAAAUGCGCAGAUAUCAGGAGGAACACCGGUGGCGAAGGGCGGGGUCUCUGGGGCCGUAAACUGACGCUGAGGAGCGAAAGCGUGGGGAGCGAACAGGA